GCCUCUUUCAUUACAGUGUGCAGAGUCCCGCAGGGCAGAAAGCUCUGAUUAAAAUGGCUCUUGCUGGGAUUCAGCGGCUUUUUGGGGAAGAAGAAAAUGCCCCUGCCUGCUGGAGUCUGUCUGAGGCACUGUCGGUGGAGCUGUUUUGAGGGAAGAAGCCUCCAAGCAAUUGUGCCAGUUUCUCCCUGACUGCUUCAGAAAGAGAUGGGCAAUAUGACCUCCCUGCAGAUGGAGGAAGAAGAGAUGUGAUGUGCCAGGACCCUACAUGCUAACCCAGCAGUGUUUGAGCUCCUGUGCAGUGCUUUUCAGCCUCUGAGGGAUGAGCCUGAAGCUUCUUUCCAGGCAGCUCUGUCUGUGAGUUUUACAGCUGCCUGGAUCAUCUCCAAAGGAUUGAUUUACUGUAAUUCCUCUAGAAAGCAACUUUUGUGAUUGCCUGCCUGGAGAUCUCAAGCUGGACUUAAACAACAGGAUCCUAAAGAGGCCAUGAAUAAUUGAGCCUAAUAAAUAUUAAUAACUUGC